GUAGGGAAUAUUGGACAAUGGGCGAAAGCCUGAUCCAGCCAUGCCGCGUGAUAGAUGAAUGCCCUCUGGGUUGUAAAUAUCUUUUAUCUGGGAAGAAACUCCUCUAUUCUUAGAGGCCUGACGGUACCAGAGGAAUAAGCACCGGCUAACUCCGUGCCAGCAGCCGCGGUAAUACGGAGGGUGCAAGCGUUAUCCGGAUUCACUGGGUUUAAAGGGUGAGUAGGCGGGUUGAUAAGUAAGUGGUGAAAGCUCCGGGCUUAACUUGGAAACUGCCAUUGCUACUGUCAAUCUUGCAUGUCGUAGAGGUAAGCGGAAUGUUGCAUGUAGCGGUGAAAUGCUUAGAUAUGUUACAGAACACCAAUUGCGAAGGCAGCUUACUAUGCGAUAAUUGACGCUGAGGCACGAAAGCGUGGGGAGCAAACAGGAUUAGAAACCCGAGUAGUCC
rnacentral:rRNA from 1 species